rnacentral:rRNA from 1 species
GCAAGACCGUGAGGUGGAGCAAAACUCAAAAACUUGUCUCAGUUCGGAUUGUAGGCUGAAACUCGCCUACAUGAAGCUGGAGUUGCUAGUAAUCGCGAAUCAGCAUGUCGCGGUGAAUACGUUCCCGGGGCCUUGUACACACCGCCCGUCACACCAUGAGAGUUGGCAAUACCCAACGUACGUGAUCUAACCCGCAAGGGAGGAAGCGUCCUAAGGUAGGGUCAGCGAUUGGGGUGAAGUCGUAACAAGGUAGC